UACGUAGGGUGCGAGCGUUGUCCGGAAUUAUUGGGCGUAAAGAGCUUGUAGGCGGUUUGUCGCGUCUGCUGUGAAACCCGAGGCUCAACCUCGGGCCUGCAGUGGGUACGGGCAGACUAGAGUGCGGUAGGGGAGAUUGGAAUUCCUGGUGUAGCGGUGAAAUGCGCAGAUAUCAGGAGGAACACCGAUGGCGAAGGCAGGUCUCUGGGCAUUAACUGACGCUGAGGAGCGAAAGCAUGGGGAGCGAACAGG
rnacentral:rRNA from 1 species